CUCUCUCUGUUUCUUCGAGAAAACAGAGAGAAGCGGUGGGGCGUGGGGAGAAGAAGAAGAGAAGUAGAGGGAGAAGAGAAGAAGAGGGAAAAGAAGAGAGGAAGAAGAGGAAGAAGAGGGAGAAGAGAAGAAAAGAAGAAGUAGAAGAGAGGGAAGAUGGAGAGGAGAAAGAGAGGCAGCUGCAGCAGCUAGGGCUGCAGCACCUCUGUUUCCCGCAGGUGGAAACAGAGGAGAGGAUGUGUGGGGCGUUGAGGAUGAAAAGGGCAGAAGAAGAAGAAGAAGAAGAGGAAGAAGAAGAAGAAGAAGAAGUGAGGAGGAUAGCUGCGGCAAGGCUACAGCGAGGAGAUGUGUGGCUUUGGGAGGAAAAGGGAAGAGGAGAAGAAGAGAAGGAGAAGAAGAGGGAAAAGAGAGGGAAGACGGAGAGGAGCGAGAGGUGGCAGCAGCUAGGGCUGCAGCACCUCUGUUUCCUGCAGGUGGAAACAGAGGAGACGUGUCGGGUGUCGGGUAGGAGAAGAGCAGAAGAAGAAGAAGAGGAUGAGAAGAAGAAGAGGAAGCAGGAGAAGAGGUUGUGAUACCUCUGUUCCCUAUAGAGGAAACAGAGGAGAGGGUGUUUGUGACGCCGAGAAGAAGAAGGGGAGGAAGGAGAAGAAGAGAAGAAGAAGAAAGGAAGGUGAAGGAAGAGGAGAAGGGAAAGAAGUAGCUGCGGCUGCGGCUAUGGCAGCUGCAGCUUUGGCAGGGAAAGAGGAAGAGAAAGGAAGAAGGGAAGGAGAGGAAGAAGAGAAGGGAAAGAAGGGGCUGCGGCUGCGGCGAUGGCAGCUGCAGUUGGAAGAGAAGAAGGAGAGGAAGAUGAGCAGGGGAGGAAGAAGAGGUUGUGGCUGUGGCUGAGGCUGCGACUGCAGCAGUGCAGCUGGGAAAGAAGAGAAGGAAAGGAAGAAGAAGAGAAAGGAAAAGGGAAGAAGAGAGGAAGAGGAAAAGGGGAGGCAGCUGUGGCAGUGGCAGCUGCAGCUGGAAGAGAAGGAGAGGAAAUAGAGUAGGGGAGAAAGAAGAGGCUGCGGCUGUGGUGGCUGCGGCCAUGGUUGCGACUGCGACUGCGGCAGUUGCAGCUGGGAAACAAAAGAAAGGAAAGGGGGAAAAAGGGGCUGCGGACGGGAUUGCGGCCGCAGCGGCAGCGACUGCAUAUGCUGCAGUUAUGUCUGCGAGAGAAGGGAGGAAGGAAGGUAGUGCGGUGGAAGGGGCUGCGAUUGUGGCAGCGGCAGCGGCGGCGGCUGUGGCAGCUGCGUUUGGGAAAGAAAAAGAAGGAAUGAGAGUAAGAGAGAGCAGGUGACUGUGCCUCGAUGUUCAACACGUGGUGUAGUUGCGAAGAAAGGAAGAAAACGGGAGCACAAAAUGAAACAGAGAGAGGACACGGAGGAAAAGUAGAAGGAUUUGAGCUGGCACCUUCUUUGGAUCUUCGGAUCGAAAUCUUUGAAAAGAUAGCGUAUUGCUUGCUUAAAUGUUAAGAUUGGGCUGAGGCGGUGGAAAGUUUAGAAGAUUUUGGGCAGAUCUUUGUUAGCAUAUGUGUAUUUGUUGUAUAAGAUACUCUGCAUCUUAUGAAAUGUGACGAUGAAUCUAAACCUGUGGAUUUUGUGUAAGAUAAAGGAUCCCUCAUGUAUAGGAUUUUGGAAUGUUAAGUUAAAUUCAUGUAAUGAUAUGAUCUUAUGGUAAUCGUUGGUUUGGUGACUGCAUAGACUUCCCCACUUGUGAAUUUAUGUUGUGGUUAUUAUUUUGAUGUGUUGGGUUCAGAUUGUAUGAAUUAUCGAGUGAUGUGUGGUAUGUUUAUGAAUUGCACAGGGUUAUGAAUUUGUAGUUUAUAGAGGUGAAAUUUUGAUCUGAAUGUUUUCUUAGUGACCUCAAAUGUGUGUUUGGAUCCUGGGUUAGUUAUGAUGAAAAUUUUAAAUAUUGUCGAUAUUUUGAGGGGCGUGACAAAGGUGGUAUCAAAGCAUUGUUUGAGGAUUACUGAAAUAUUUGAUAUGUUGACGUGCAAAAUAUAUUGAGGUCUAAUGAACUAUAGUGAUUGGUGGAAAUUUUCUUUGAUGCAUUUUAGGAAUAUGGGAUGAUGAGGACAUUUGGUCCUCCUAUUUCAUUUGUUUCUGAUUAAUUAAGGGGAAUGAAAAGAUUGAUUGGGGAUAUUGAAUCAGAGUGGCGCAGCAGAAGCAUGAUGAACCUAAUUUCAUUGGUGGUAGAAAAAAUGGAUGAUGCAAAUGGAGAAGAUAUUUGAUAUAUAAAAUUGUUCUAAUGAUCAAAAGAUUUCUUUUGCUACCUUAUAUUGGAAGUAGAGGCUGAUUAUUAUUGGCAACAAUGAAAAGAAUUUUUGGAGAUAUGUGGCAAGAAUGAUAAGGAUAAGUUUAGCAAUAAAAAUAUGAUUGGAAAUGAAUCAGAAAGUAAUAACAAGAGGGUCAAGACCUUUGGAUUUGAAAUGGGAGGUCACCACAAAAGACUCAAUCAUGUGUGAAUUAUAAGUUAAAUUAUGAAACAAAUUUGUGUUUCGGGUGACUGGAGUCUAUUUUGCUUGUAGAAAGUUGGAUCAUGAAAUAAAAGACUGCCCUUUGAACAAGAAGAAAGAGUCGCUGCCUCAUAAACCAUCAACCCAUGUCAGAGUGUAUGCUAUCACUGAAUAUGAUUCUGAAACUUCUGAAAUUAGUGACCGAAUGUAUUAUGCAUAUUUACGAAAGAAUGCAAAUAUUUGUUUGACCAUGGGUCCCAUCUAUGAUUUGAUUCAGAACAUUUUGCCUAUCACUUGGGUAUUCAACCUAGACCACUACAUUAUGUGCUAUAUGUAAAUACGAUCAUUGGAGAUUCUUUGAUAACGAACUUGAAUCUGGUCCUCUUGUCUGAUUUUAUUGGAGAACUUAAACUUUUGCUGAUUUAGUUCUCCUAGAGAUUUGGAGUUAUGAUAUUAUACUUGGUAUGGAUUGACUAUCUUCUUAUCAUACCAGUAUGGAUUGGUAAAUAACAAAUGAUCACUUUUUGCAUAUUUGAUCAGCCGAUCUUUUAUUUUGAGAGUAUUGGACAUUAUUUAUCUCCUUGCCUAAUGUAUCCCAGGAUGACUUGUUUGGAUUACCUCCAAAUGUGAUUUUGCUUUUGAUUUGGUCCUUGGGAUAAUCCUAAAAUCUAAGCCUCUCUACAGAAUGAUAUCAUUGAGUAAGUGGAAUUAGAAAAAUAACUACAAGGAUUAUUAAAUGAGGAUUUUAUUUGGCUUAAUAUUUUAUCAUGGGGUGCUCUGGUGUUAGUUAAAAAGAUGGAUGGAACAUUGAGGCUUUGUAUUGAUUAUGGAUAGUUGAAUCAGGUGAUCAUCAAAAACGAGUAUUUUUCUGAAGUAACGACUUGCUUGAUUAAUUACAAGGUGUGCAAGUAUUUUUAGAAAUUGAUUGAAGGUCGGGUUACCGUCUAUUGAGGAUCAAGGAGGAGAAUAUUUCGAUCACUCUUGGAUAAUUAUGUCAUUAUAUUGUAUUGAUGAAACUAUUUGAGAGCAGGAGGAGGAAAUAAAGAAAUCAUAAUCAUCAUCUUUUCAUCGAUUGAGCUAUGAUCAAUUUAGAGGACUAAAUUUUCUUUUAAGGAGGGGAGAGUGUAAUAUCCCUCACUUUUAUAAAUUAUUAAUAAAGAUUUAUUUAUAAAUCGGAGGACCUAUAGGUAAAUAUGGAAAUUUCAAGGACUAAACUGGUAAGUUGUAAAAAGAAGAAAAUAAAGAAAACCGAAAAUUUCGGUUUUAUCCCACUGCCUCCCACGCUCUCUCUGUUUCUUCGAGAAAACAGAGAGAAGCGGUGGGGCGUGGGGAGAAGAAGAAGAGAAGUAGAGGGAGAAGAGAAGAAGAGGGAAAAGAAGAGAGGAAGAAGAGGAAGAAGAGGGAGAAGAGAAGAAAAGAAGAAGUAGAAGAGAGGGAAGAUGGAGAGGAGAAAGAGAGGCAGCUGCAGCAGCUAGGGCUGCAGCACCUCUGUUUCCCGCAGGUGGAAACAGAGGAGAGGAUGUGUGGGGCGUUGAGGAUGAAAAGGGAAGAAGAAGAAGAAGAAGAAGAAGAGGAAGAAGAAGAAGAAGAAGAAGUGAGGAGGAUAGCUGCGGCAAGGUUGCAGCGAGGAGAUGUGUGGCUUUGGGAGGAAAAGGGAAGAGGAGAAGAAGAGAAGGAGAAGAAGAGGGAAAAGAGAGGGAAGAUGGAGAGGAGCGAGAGGUGGCAGCAGCUAGGGCUGCAGCACCUCUGUUUCUUGCAGGUGGAAACAGAGGAGACGUGUGGGGUGUCGGGUAGGAGAAGAGCAGAAGAAGAAGAAGAGGAAGAGAAGAAGAAGAGGAAGCAGGAGAAGAGGUUGUGAUACCUCUGUUCCCUGCAAAGGAAACAGAGGAGAGGGUGUGUGUGACGCCGAGAAGAAGAAGGGGAGGAAGGAGAAGAAGAGAAGAAGAAGAAAGGAAGGAGAAGGAAGAGGAGAAGGGAAAGAAGUAGCUGCGGCUGCGGCUGUGGCAGCUGCAGCUAUGGCAGGGAAAGAGGAAGAGAAAGGAAGAAGGGAAGGAGAGGAAGAAGAGAAGGGAAAGAAGGGGCUGCGGCUGCGGCGAUGGCAGCUGCAGUUGGAAGAGAAGAAGGAGAGGAAGAUGAGCAGGGGAGGAAGAAGAGGCUGUGGCUGUGGCUGAGGCUGCGACUGCAGCAGUGCAGCUGGGAAAGAAGAGAAGGAAAGGAAGAAGAAGAGAAAGGAAAAGGGAAGAAGAGAGGAAGAGGAAAAGGGGAGGCAGCUGUGGCAGUGGCAGCUGCAGUUGGAAGAGAAGGAGAGGAAAUAGAGUAGGGGAGAAAGAAGAGGCUGCGGCUGUGGUGGCUGCGGCCAUGGUUGCGACUGCGACUGCGGUAGUUGCAGCUGGGAAACAAAAGAAAGGAAAGGGGGAAAAAGGAGCUGCGGACGGGAUUACGGCCGCAGCGGCAGCGACUGCGUAUGCAGCAAUUAUGUCUGCGAGAGAAGGGAGGAAGGAAGGUAGUGCGGUGGAAGGGGCUACGAUUGUGGCAGCGGCGGUGGCUGUGGCAGCUGCGUUUGGGAAAGAAAAAGAAGGAAUGAGAGUAAGAGAGAGCAGGUGACUGUGCCUCGAUGUUCGACACGUGGUGUAGUUGCGAAGAAAGGAAGAAAACGAGAGCACAAAACGAAACAGAGAGAGGACACGGAGGAAAAGUAGAAGGAUUUGGGCUGGCACCUUCUUUGGAUCUUCGGAUCGAAAUCUUUGAAAGGCAAGUUCCCUGAUCGUUUCUCCUAUAAUUGCUCUGAUAUGUCUUAUUGCAAGUUCCCUAAUCGUUUCUCCUAUAAUUGCUCUGA